rnacentral:rRNA from 1 species
GGUUAAGCGACUAAGCGUACACGGUGGAUGCCCUGGCAGUCAGAGGCGAUGAAGGACGUGCUAAUCUGCGAUAAGCGUCGGUAAGGUGAUAUGAACCGUUAUAACCGGCGAUUUCCGAAUGGGGAAACCCAGUGUGUUUCGACACACUAUCAUUAACUGAAUCCAUAGGUUAAUGAGGCGAACCGGGGGAACUGAAACAUCUAAGUACCCCGAGGAAAAGAAAUCAACCGAGAUUCCCCCAGUAGCGGCGAGCGAACGGGGAGCAGCCCAGAGCCUGAAUCAGUGUGUGUGUUAGUGGAAGCGUCUGGAAAGGCGCGCGAUACAGGGUGACAGCCCCGUACACAAAAAUGCACAUGCUGUGAGCUCGAUGAGUAGGGCGGGACACGUGGUAUCCUGUCUGAAUAUGGGGGGACCAUCCUCCAAGGCUAAAUACUCCUGACUGACCGAUAGUGAACCAGUACCGUGAGGGAAAGGCGAAAAGAACCCCGGCGAGGGGAGUGAAAAAGAACCUGAAACCGUGUACGUACAAGCAGUGGGAGCACGCUUAGGCGUGUGACUGCGUACCUUUUGUAUAAUGGGUCAGCGACUUAUAUUCUGUAGCAAGGUUAACCGAAUAGGGGAGCCGAAGGGAAACCGAGUCUUAACUGGGCGUUAAGUUGCAGGGUAUAGACCCGAAACCCGGUGAUCUAGCCAUGGGCAGGUUGAAGGUUGGGUAACACUAACUGGAGGACCGAACCGACUAAUGUUGAAAAAUUAGCGGAUGACUUGUGGCUGGGGGUGAAAGGCCAAUCAAACCGGGAGAUAGCUGGUUCUCCCCGAAAGCUAUUUAGGUAGCGCCUCGUGAAUUCAUCUCCGGGGGUAGAGCACUGUUUCGGCAAGGGGGUCAUCCCGACUUACCAACCCGAUGCAAACUGCGAAUACCGGAGAAUGUUAUCACGGGAGACACACGGCGGGUGCUAACGUCCGUCGUGAAGAGGGAAACAACCCAGACCGCCAGCUAAGGUCCCAAAGUCAUGGUUAAGUGGGAAACGAUGUGGGAAGGCCCAGACAGCCAGGAUGUUGGCUUAGAAGCAGCCAUCAUUUAAAGAAAGCGUAAUAGCUCACUGGUCGAGUCGGCCUGCGCGGAAGAUGUAACGGGGCUAAACCAUGCACCGAAGCUGCGGCAGCGACGCUUAUGCGUUGUUGGGUAGGGGAGCGUUCUGUAAGCCUGCGAAGGUGUGCUGUGAGGCAUGCUGGAGGUAUCAGAAGUGCGAAUGCUGACAUAAGUAACGAUAAAGCGGGUGAAAAGCCCGCUCGCCGGAAGACCAAGGGUUCCUGUCCAACGUUAAUCGGGGCAGGGUGAGUCGACCCCUAAGGCGAGGCCGAAAGGCGUAGUCGAUGGGAAACAGGUUAAUAUUCCUGUACUUGGUGUUACUGCGAAGGGGGGACGGAGAAGGCUAUGUUGGCCGGGCGACGGUUGUCCCGGUUUAAGCGUGUAGGCUGGUUUUCCAGGCAAAUCCGGAAAAUCAAGGCUGAGGCGUGAUGACGAGGCACUACGGUGCUGAAGCAACAAAUGCCCUGCUUCCAGGAAAAGCCUCUAAGCAUCAGGUAACAUCAAAUCGUACCCCAAACCGACACAGGUGGUCAGGUAGAGAAUACCAAGGCGCUUGAGAGAACUCGGGUGAAGGAACUAGGCAAAAUGGUGCCGUAACUUCGGGAGAAGGCACGCUGAUACGUAGGUGAAGUCCCUCGCGGAUGGAGCUGAAAUCAGUCGAAGAUACCAGCUGGCUGCAACUGUUUAUUAAAAACACAGCACUGUGCAAACACGAAAGUGGACGUAUACGGUGUGACGCCUGCCCGGUGCCGGAAGGUUAAUUGAUGGGGUCAGCGCAAGCGAAGCUCUUGAUCGAAGCCCCGGUAAACGGCGGCCGUAACUAUAACGGUCCUAAGGUAGCGAAAUUCCUUGUCGGGUAAGUUCCGACCUGCACGAAUGGCGUAAUGAUGGCCAGGCUGUCUCCACCCGAGACUCAGUGAAAUUGAACUCGCUGUGAAGAUGCAGUGUACCCGCGGCAAGACGGAAAGACCCCGUGAACCUUUACUAUAGCUUGACACUGAACAUUGAGCCUUGAUGUGUAGGAUAGGUGGGAGGCUUUGAAGUGUGGACGCCAGUCUGCAUGGAGCCGACCUUGAAAUACCACCCUUUAAUGUUUGAUGUUCUAACGUUGACCCGUGAUCCGGGUUGCGGACAGUGUCUGGUGGGUAGUUUGACUGGGGCGGUCUCCUCCUAAAGAGUAACGGAGGAGCACGAAGGUUGGCUAAUCCUGGUCGGACAUCAGGAGGUUAGUGCAAUGGCAUAAGCCAGCUUGACUGCGAGCGUGACGGCGCGAGCAGGUGCGAAAGCAGGUCAUAGUGAUCCGGUGGUUCUGAAUGGAAGGGCCAUCGCUCAACGGAUAAAAGGUACUCCGGGGAUAACAGGCUGAUACCGCCCAAGAGUUCAUAUCGACGGCGGUGUUUGGCACCUCGAUGUCGGCUCAUCACAUCCUGGGGCUGAAGUAGGUCCCAAGGGUAUGGCUGUUCGCCAUUUAAAGUGGUACGCGAGCUGGGUUUAGAACGUCGUGAGACAGUUCGGUCCCUAUCUGCCGUGGGCGCUGGAGAACUGAGGGGGGCUGCUCCUAGUACGAGAGGACCGGAGUGGACGCAUCACUGGUGUUCGGGUUGUCAUGCCAAUGGCACUGCCCGGUAGCUAAAUGCGGAAGAGAUAAGUGCUGAAAGCAUCUAAGCACGAAACUUGCCCCGAGAUGAGUUCUCCCUGAC